AAAGAAACCAACAGGGAUUGCCUCAGUAACGGCGAGUGAAGCGGCAACAGCUCAAAUUUGAAAUCUGGCUUCGGCCCGAGUUGUAAUUUGCAGAGGAAGCUUCUGGCGCAGCGCCAUCCGAGUCCCCUGGAACGGGGCGCCACAGAGGGUGAGAGCCCCGUAUGGAUGGACGCCUAGCCUGUGUGAAGCUCCUUCGACGAGUCGAGUAGUUUGGGAAUGCUGCUCAAAAUGGGAGGUAAAUUCCUUCUAAAGCUAAAUACCGGCCAGAGACCGAUAGCGCACAAGUAGAGUGAUCGAAAGAUGAAAAGCACUUUGAAAAGAGGGUUAAAUAGCACGUGAAAUUGUUGAAAGGGAAGCGCUCAUGACCAGACUUGCGCCAGGCUGAUCAUCCGGUGUUCUCACCGGUGCACUCUGCCUGGCUCAGGCCAGCAUCGGUUUCGGCGGGGGGAUAAAGGCCUAGGGAACGUAGCUCCUCCGGGAGUGUUAUAGCCCUGGGUGCAAUGCCCCCGCUGGGACCGAGGUUCGCGCUCUGCAAGGAUGCUGGCGUAAUGGUCAUCAGCGACCCGUCUUGAAACACGGACCAAGGAGUCAAGGUUUUGCGCGAGUGUUUGGGUGUCAAACCCGCACGCGUAAUGAAAGUGAACGUAGGUGAGAGCUUCGGCGCAUCAUCGACCGAUCCUGAUGUAUUCGGAUGGAUUUGAGUAGGAGCGUUAAGCCUUGGACCCGAAAGAUGGUGAACUAUGCUUGGAUAGGGUGAAGCCAGAGGAAACUCUGGUGGAGGCUCGCAGCGGUUCUGACGUGCAAAUCGAUCGUCAUAAUC
rnacentral:rRNA from 2 species